AUGUGUGUACUUGCCAGGACCCAACGCAGUUCUGACUCCACUGUCUGUGUCCGCCAUCAGUCUGUGUCCCUGCUGUCUGACUGUGUCUGCGCUGUGUCCCCACCAUCAGUCUGUGCCCGCCAUGUCUGUGUCCCCACCAUCAGUCUGUGUCCCUGCUGUCUUUGUCCCCGCCGUCAGUCUGUCCCCGCUGUCAGUCUGUGUCCCCACUGUCUGUGUCCCUGCCAUCAGUGUGUCCCUGCCAUCAGUCUGUUCCCGCUGUCUGUCUGUCUCUGCUGUCUGUCCCUGCUGUCUCUCUGUGUCUCUGCCGUCAGUCUAUCCCCACCGUCAGCCUGUGUCCCCACCAUCAGUCUAUCCCUGCUGUCUGUGUCCCUGCCGUCUGUCUGUGUCCAUGCCAUCUGUGUCCCCAUCAUCAGUCUGUGUCUCCACCGUCAGUCUGUCCUCACUGUCAGUCUGCCCCUGCCGUCUGUCUGUGUUCCUGCCGUCUGUGUCCCUGCUGUCAGUCUGUUCCCGCAGUCUGUCUGUGUCCCUGCCGUCUGUCUGUGUCCCCACCGUCAGUCUGUCCCUGCCAUUUGUGUCCCCACCGUCAGUUCUGUCCCUGCCGUCUGUCUGCCCCUGCCGUCUGUCUGUGUCCCUGCCCAUCUGUCUGUGUCCCCACUGUCAUUCUGUCCCUGCUGUCAGUCUGUGUCUCUGCUGUCAGUCUGUCCUCACUGUGUCUCCACCAUCAGUCUGUGUCCCUGCCCGUCUGUCUGUCCCCACCCGUCAGUCUGUCCCUGCAGUCUGUCUGUGUUCCUGCCGUCUGUGUCUCUGCUGUCAGUCUGUGUCCCCACCGUCAGUCUGUCCCUGCUGUCUGUGUCCCUGCCGUCUGUCUGUGUCCCUGCUGUCUGUCUGUUUUCCCGCCAUCAGUCUGUCCCUGCUGUCUGUGUCCCUGCCGUCUGUCUGUGUCCCUGCUGUCUGUCUGUUCCUGCCAUCGGUCUGUCCCCACUGUCUGUCUGUGUCCCUGCCAUCAGUCUGUCCCUGCUGUCUGUCUACCCCUGCCGUCUGUGUCCCCACCGUCAUUCUGUCCCUGCCGUCUGCCCCUGCCGUCUGUCUGUGUCCCUGCCGUCUGUCUGUGUCCCCACCGUCAUUCUGUCCCUGCCGUCUGUCUGUCCCUGCCGUCUGUCUGUGUCCCCGCCGUCUGUCUGUGUCCCCGCUGUCAGUCUGUCCCUGCUGUCUGCCCCUGCCGUCUGUCUACCCCUGCCAUCUGUCUGUGUCCCCACCGUCUGUCUGUGUCCCUGCCAUCUGUCUGUGUCCCCGCCGUCAGUCUGUCCCCCUGCACAUCUCUUGUGGCUGUGGUCUUGGUUCCUCCCUGACCUCUCCAGCAUCCCCUAG
rnacentral:lncRNA from 1 species